GAUGAACGCUAGCUACAGGCUUAACACAUGCAAGUCGAGGGGUAACGAGAGGGAAGCUUGCUUUCCUUGUCGACGACCGGCGCACGGGUGAGUAACGCGUAUCCAACCUGCCCCCAACUAGGGAAUAACCUUGCGAAAGUAAGACUAAUACCCUAUAAUUUCCUCAGAUGUCAUCUGACGAGGAAUAAAGAUUUAUCGGUUGUGGAUGGGGAUGCUUCUGAUUAGCUUGUUGGCGGGGUAACGGCCCACCAAGGCAACGAGCAGUAGGGGUUCUGAGAGGAAGGUCCCCCACAAUGGAACUGAGACACGGUCCAAACGCCUACGGGAGGCAGCAGUGAGGAAUAUUGGUCAAUGGGCGGAAGCCUGAACCAGCCAAGUAGCGUGCAGGAUGACGGCCCUAUGGGUUGUAAACUGCUUUUAUACAGGAAUAAAGUUAGCCACGUGUGGUUAUUUGUAGGUACUGUAUGAAUAAGGACCGGCUAAUUCCGUGCCAGCAGCCGCGUAA
rnacentral:rRNA from 1 species